UUUUUUUUUCUGGUUAGCUCUGGGCUUUUCUUCGUGUAAUGAGCAUUUCUUGGUUUCUUGAAUUACAGCACUGCGCACAGAGCAUUACCACAGAUCUCCAUGGUGUAAAAUGAGAGUUCUGUGCUUCAGUUGUGUAUCUGAAUGGAUGGCUUUUGUGGUUUUGCCUGUGAAAUUGUAAAAUCACACUGAAGAUGGAUCUAUCUCAUCUUUAAGUUGGCAGCAGAGAUCUUGAAAUUAUAAAAGAGGGUUGGCUGACUGAGGUAUAUAUAACAUGAAGAUUCUUUUUUAUAUGGAAAGAAGGCACACACAGUUCCUAGGGAUAAAACCUGAGUGUGUACCAUCCUGCAAAUUCUGGAAGAAGGAGUCUGUGUUGUGCUGUGGACCACUGGGGAGUCACAGAUGAGAGGUGCCAGAAGGAGCAGUCUCCAAAAGCAACAGUGGUGCAGCCACCAAAUACAAGAGGGUACAUUUUUGUUGUAUUUAGCAGCAAAAGAUGUCAUAGAAUGAAGGUAAGCAUU
ensembl:lncRNA